CCUACGGGGGGCAGCAGUGGGGAAUAUUGCGCAAUGGGCGAAAGCCUGACGCAGCGACGCCGCGUGAGGGAUGAAGGUCUUCGGAUCGUAAACCUCUGUCAGCAGGGAAGAACGGUCACUGUGCUAAUCAGCAGUGAAUUGACGGUACCUGCAAAGGAAGCACCGGCUAACUCCGUGCCAGCAGCCGCGGUAAUACGGAGGGUGCGGGCGUUAAUCGGAAUUACUGGGCGUAAAGCGCUCGUAGGCGGUAUGUCAAGUAAAGGGUGAAAUCCCCGCGCUGAACGUGGGAACUGCCUUUGAAACUGGCAAACUGGAGUGUGUGAGGGGAUAGUGGAAUUCCAGGUGUAGGAGUGAAAUGCGUAGAGAUCUGGAGGAACACCAGUGGCGAAGGCGACUAUCUGGCACAUAACUGACGCUGAGGAGCGAAAGCGUGGGUAGCAAACAGGAUUAGAUACCCUGGUAGUC
rnacentral:rRNA from 1 species